UCUUCUAUAGCUUAACCAAACUCCAAAAGUG
rnacentral:piRNA from 1 species